GCGAGUAUCAUAUAAUGGUUAUUAUCUUAGCUUUCCAAGCUAAUGAUGCGGGUUCGAUUCCCGCUACUCGCU
rnacentral:tRNA from 2 species